rnacentral:rRNA from 1 species
UGCGUAGGCGGUGCGGUAAGUCUUCUGUGAAACCUCCGGGCUUAACUCGGAGCCUGCAGGGGAAACUGCCGUGCUGGAGUAUGGGAGAGGUGAGUGGAAUUCCCGGUGUAGCAGUGAAAUGCGUAGAUAUCGGGAGGAACACCUGUGGCGAAAGCGGCUCACUGGACCAUUACUGACGCUGAUGCACGAAAGCUAGGGGAGCAAACAGGAUUAGAUACCCUGGUAGUCCUAGCCCUAAACGAUGAUCGCUUGGUGUGACAGGUACCCAAUCCUGUCGUGCCGGAGCUAACGCGUUAAGCGAUCCGCCUGGGGAGUACGGUCGCAAGGCUGAA